UACGUAGGUGGCGAGCGUUGUCCGGAUUUACUGGGCGUAAAGCGCGCGCAGGCGGUCCGGUAAGUCUCCGGUGAAAUCGCUCGGCUCAACUGGGCGGGUGCCGGGGAGACUGGCGGACUUGAGGAGCCUAGAGGCCGGUGGAACUCCCGGUGUAGUGGUGAAAUGCGUAGAGAUCGGGAAGAACACCAGUGGCGAAGGCGGCCGGCUGGGGGUGUCCUGACGCUGAGGCGCGAGAGCGUGGGGAGCAAACCGG
rnacentral:rRNA from 1 species